GAGGAAUAUUGGGCAAUGCCCGCAAGGGUGACCCAGCAACGCCGCGUGGAGGAUGAAUGUCGUAAGAUUGUAAACUCCUGUUAGAGGGGAAGAAUAGUACCGGUUGGACCGGUAUAUGACUGUACCCUCAGAGAAAGCCCCGGCUAACUACGUGCCAGCAGCCGCGGUAAUACGUAGGGGGCAAGCGUUGUCCGGAUUUACUGGGUGUAAAGGGCGCGCAGGCGGGAUAAAAAGUCAGUGGUGAAAUCCUACAGCUUAACUGUAGAACUGCCUUUGAUACUUUUAUUCUUGAGUUCGGGAGAGAGAGACGGAAUUCCAGGUGUAGUGGUGAAAUACGUAGAUAUCUGGAAGAACACCAGUUGUGAAGGCGGUCUCUUGGUCCGACACUGACGCUGAGGCGCGAAAGCGUGGGGAGCAAACA
rnacentral:rRNA from 1 species